rfam:Chlorocebus sabaeus isolate 1994-021 chromosome 22, whole genome shotgun sequence.
UUUAUUAUAGCCUAAUGGUAAAGCACUGGAUUUAUAAUCCUGAUUUUGCCACAUGAUGAAU